UCCUAUCCGUGAAAGUGUGUCUUCAAGAAUCUUCUCUUUAAGAAUCGGCGACCUCGAAAAGUCGCGAAUCCCAGUACGUAUGUAUGUAUGUAUUUUCACGGAUCGGAGUCGCCGGUGGUCUACGAACGAUUCCGAUCGAUCGCAGUCGCCCGGAUGGAUACGAGGAAGUCGACUGGUACUGGGGCCGACCAGGCGUCUUACGAGCGAGGCUUCUGCACGAACGCAGACAUCGAUCCGACUUUGGCCUUUGGAAUGCACCGUGCCGUUACAUAAUUACGUCGAACGUAAUGUUACAUCGUUACGCAAGCAAAGACCCGGUGGCCACGGACACGACAGGGACACGUCGCACUGGCAAAGAGGCAACCGGUUCGUCGAGCGGCACGCUCUAAAAUUAAUUCGAUAUGUUAACUCGCUCUCGUUGCUCGGCCAGAAGUCACGCCGAUUCCUCGCGGACCCGAAAAUCCGCGGAUUUCCAAACGACCCGACGACGUGGGCAUGCUCAUUCUCGCGUUAUCGUUGUAAAAUUCACUUGGUGGAUCGAUGUUUUCUUUUUUGGUUUGUUUUUAUUAAAAAAAUGUGAUAAAUGUAACUGAAUAUGAAGGGAUCGACUUUAUCUACAUCGUUGUAUUUUUCCUCUUCCGUUUUUAACAGGAAGGCUUUGAUACGACAGCGACGAAUUGAGAUUUAUUAUUAAUCGUCUUCUUCGGCCUGCAUUGCACGACGCACACGGAGUUCCAUGGGAAAUCGACGGGAAACAUGUUCGUCGACGAGCUCAACGUCGACGUACGACCGGUUCGUGAUGGUCGAUGCAGCAAUUAAAUGGUCUCCGCGGUCUCGACGAAGGAACUGGCUUAAUUGAAGAAUUAGUUUAGGUAGGAGUUCGUCUCUCGUUCGUGCUUAAGACGAUCGCGAGCGAUCGCGUUAACAUCUUCCGAUUCCGUGGCACAGUUCAUCCGAAAUAGGUUUAACUUUCAUUGGAUUAGAGCGGCGAAUACGUUCGAAUGAUUCGAAAUGUAAAUUUAUUUGAAUGAAAAAUUCUGCUGCAGAAUGAAUAACGUUGUACGACAGUUAUUAGAUUUAUUAAGAACGAGAUAUUCCGUUUGUGAUAAUUUAUUAAGAACGAUAUGUUCGAGUUAUUAUUGGUUAUUAUAUCGUAGAAAAUGAAUAAGUUUCUCAACAGUUGCGUAGAUAUAGAAUUAUUAGAUUUAUUCAGAACGAUAGAUUCGUUUGAGCGAUUGUUAUAUUAUAGGAAAUAAGUAACAAGUGAGUAACAAAUAUUGGAUCUAUUAAAAACGAAGUAUUUAAUCUUACGAUUUCCUUUUCAAUCUUCCUAACUAAACGUUAAUUACCGUCACUUGUUCUAUUGUGUGAAACGUGCACAAUGAAAUUGCGUACACUGUGUGCACAAAUAAAAUUUAAU